rnacentral:tRNA from 1 species
GGAGAAUUAAAUUGUGGACUACACUCGUAGAAGCCCACCAAGGCUGUAUCGGACGAGGGUUCGACUCCCUCCGUCUCCACCA